GCAAGUCGAACGGCAGCGCGAGGUAAGCUUGCUUACCUUGGCGGCGAGUGGCGAACGGGUGAGUAAUGUAUCGGAACGUGCCCAGUAGCGGGGGAUAACUACUCGAAAGAGUGGCUAAUACCGCAUACGCCCUACGGGGGAAAGGGGGGGAUCGCAAGACCUCUCACUAUUGGAGCGGCCGAUAUCGGAUUAGCUAGUUGGUGGGGUAAAGGCCUACCAAGGCGUCGAUCCGUAGCUGGUUUGAGAGGACGACCAGCCACACUGGGACUGAGACACGGCCCAGACUCCUACGGGAGGCAGCAGUGGGGAAUUUUGGACAAUGGGGGAAACCCUGAUCCAGCCAUCCCGCGUGUGCGAUGAAGGCCUUCGGGUUGUAAAGCACUUUUGGCAGGGAAGAAAAGGUUCUGGCUAAUACCCGGAACUGCUGACGGUACCUGCAGAAUAAGCACCGGCUAACUACGUGCCAGCAGCCGCGGUAAUACGUAGGGUGCAAGCGUUAAUCGGAAUUACUGGGCGUAAAGGGUGCGCAGGCGGCUUGGAAAGAACGGUGUGAAAUCCCGGGGCUCAACCUCGGAACUGCACUAUUAACUGCCAAGCUAGAGUACGUCAGAGGGGGGUGGAAUUCCGCGUGUAGCAGUGAAAUGCGUAGAUAUGCGGAGGAACACCGAUGGCGAAGGCAGCCCCCUGGGAUGGUACUGACGCUCAGGCACGAAAGCGUGGGUAGCGAACAGGAUUAGAUACCCUGGUAGUCCACGCCCUAAACGAUGUCAACUAGCUGUUGGGCCGGUUACGGCUUAGUAGCGCAGCUAACGCGUGAAGUUGACCGCCUGGGGACUACGGUCGCAGACUACACUCAAUGAAUUGACGGAA
rnacentral:rRNA from 1 species